rnacentral:rRNA from 1 species
GAUGAACGCUGGCGGCGUGCUUAACACAUGCAAGUCGAGCGGAAAGGCCCUGCUUUUGUGGGGUGCUCGAGUGGCGAACGGGUGUGUAACACGCGAGUAACCUGCCCCUGACUUUGGGAUAACUUCAGGAAACUGGGGCUCAUACAGGAUAGGAGAUCCUGCUGCAUGGUGGGGGUUGGAAAGUUUCGGCGGUUGGGGAUGGACUCGCGGCUUAUCAGCCUGUUGGUGGGGUAGUGGCUUACCAAGGCUUUGACGGGUAGCCGGCCUGAGAGGGUGACCGGCGACAUUGGGCCUGAGAUACGGCCCAGACUCGUACGGGAGGCAGCAGUGGAGAAUAUUGCACAAUGGGCGGACGCCUGAUGCAGCGACGCUGCGUGCGGGAUGACGGCCUUCGGGUUGUAAACCGCUGUCGCCUGUGACGAAGCGUGAGUGACGGUAAUGGAUAAAGAAGCACCGGCUAACUACGUG